CGGCGAGUGAAGCGGCAAAAGCUCAAAUUUGAAACCCUCGGGAUUGUAAUUUGAAGAUUUGGCAUUGGAGAAAGCUAACCCAAGUUGCUUGGAAUAGUACGUCAUAGAGGGUGACAACCCCGUCUGGCUAACCGUUCUCCAUGUAUUGCCUUAUCAAAGAGUCGAGUUGUUUGGGAAUGCAGCUCAAAGUGGGUGGUAAACUCCAUCUAAAGCUAAAUACUGGUGAGAGACCGAUAGCGAACAAGUACUGUGAAGGAAAGGUGAAAAGAACUUUGAAAAGAGAGUGAAAUAGUAUGUGAAAUUGUUGAUAGGGAAGGAAAUGAGUGGAGAGUGGCCGAGGUUUCAGCCGCCCCUCGUGGGCGGUGUACUGCCGACGCCGAGUCAUCGAUAGCGAGACGAGGGUUACAAAUGGGAGCGCCUUCGGGCGUUCUCCCCUAACCCUCCACACU
rnacentral:rRNA from 1 species